GAUGAACGCUGGCGGCGUGCCUAAUACAUGCAAGUCGAACGGACAGACGAUGAGCUUGCGCCGCUGACGUUAGCGGCAGACGGGUGAGUAACACGUGUAUACCCUCCCUAUCAGACUGGGAAAAUUACGGGACAGCGGAGAAAAUCCCGGAUAAUCUAUUGAACCGCGGGGUGGAAUGGAGAGAGACGGUGGUGCUGUCUCUAAUAGAUGGUUCCGAGCCGCAUUAGCUGGUUGGUACGUUCACGGCUUACCAAGGCAACGAUGCGUGGCCGACGUGAGAGACGGAUAGGCCACCUUGGAGCGGGACCACGGACCAUGCUCCUGCGGGAGGCAGCAGUAGGGAACCUUCCGCAAUGGGCGAGAGCCUUACGGAGCGGCGCCGCGUGAGUGAUGGAGGCCUUCGGAUCGUAAAACCCUGUUACUAGUGAAGAACAAAUGUGUAAGUAAAUAUGCACGUCGUGACGGUACCUAAUCAGAAAGCACCGGCUAACUACGUG
rnacentral:rRNA from 1 species